rnacentral:rRNA from 1 species
AAUGACYCUCGGCAACGGAUAUYUCGGCUCUYGCAUCGAUGAAGAACGCAGCGAAAUGCGAUACUUGGUGUGAAUUGCAGAAUCCCGUGAACCAUCGAGUCUUUGAACGCAAGUUGCGCCCGAAGCCAUUAGGCCGAGGGCACGUCUGGCUGGGUGUCACACAACG